AUGAGGCACCUCCUUAUUCUUAGGAAAUUUAUACAAAUUCAAAACUCUACUCUAUAAUAAGAAGGUAAAAAUAUUAAUUUUUAUAAUGUUCAUUUAAAAAAAAUAAUGAUAUAGUUGAUAAUUUUUUUGCAUUGCAUCGGAUAUUACUUUUAACAUUAUCACAUACAUUAUUUAGAAUAUUAAUUUAUUUAAAAGGGUAUUGGUAAAAUUGUAUACUUUAUCUAUUGAUUAUUGUUAAAUAUCUAAAAAAAAAAAAAAAAAAGUAGUAAUGCUUAGCAUGGGCUACUUGUAACUAGUUUUCUAUAGAUAGAAGAGUGGGUUUUAACAUGGCUGCUUAUUAGUCAAUAAAAUCCUAAGUGAGGGCAUUUUAUACUUUUAGCAAUAUUAUCUACCUCCGUGUCUUUCGAACUACACCACUCUUGACUCUUGUUUAUAUGGCCUUUUCAUCUGACGAUGAAUGGGGGAUUGCAGAAUGGAGGACUCCAAAGAUCCAGAGUAUUUCUACUUCUACUGAGAAAGGAUUAUGCUCCUGGGUUUGAAGGUACGAUGACGACAAAUGAUGGGAAAUGUGCUUGAAGUGAUUGGAAUUCGUAGCAUAUGUCGAUAAGCUGAGGUGAAGAGUCGACGAACGAAAACGACGAACUGAAAAGGAGAGUUAAUCGACUGCAGAUCCUCGCUUUCCUUCCGCGAUGCGGAAGGAUCGCGAGAAGCUCCAGAAAUUCAGGCCAUCGACCCGCAUCGCGUGAAGAAAGCGGAACAACCAAACUCAGUCAUCAGGGUGCGCGAUCGACCCGCAUCGCGUGAAGAAGGCGAGAAGCUGCAGAUCAUUGCGCGAUCCUUCCGCGAUGCAGAAGGAAAGCGGGACUCUGCGGAUGUUUUCCCGAUUAGACUAGGAUUUGGAUCCCUUAUUUAUUAUUUUUACCCUAGCCUAUAUAUAGACGUUUUUAUAGCUGAGAACGGUUUCUGGGAUUAUUCAAGGAUUUGUAAGCCACCAUUCUCCUUUUUAUCUCUCUAGGUUAUUUUAUUUUUCAUCUUUUUCAACCCUAGUUUAUUCAUGGCUUCUUUUGUCUAUGAUCGAAUCAUGAGUAGCUAAAUCUCCUAGUUCUAGGGUUGUAGCGAAAGACUUGAAAGUUGAUGUGAUGACAAUUAUUAUCUAUUGACUU